AGCGAACGCUGGCGGCAGGCUUAACACAUGCAAGUCGAACGCAUCCUUCGGGGUGAGUGGCAGACGGGUGAGUAACACGUGGGAACGUACCCUUCGGUUCGGAAUAACUCAGGGAAACUUGAGCUAAUACCGGAUACGCCCUUCGGGGGAAAGAUUUAUCGCUGAAGGAUCGGCCCGCGUCUGAUUAGCUAGUUGGUGGGGUAAUGGCCUACCAAGGCGACGAUCAGUAGCUGGUCUGAGAGGAUGAUCAGCCACACUGGGACUGAGACACGGCCCAGACUCCUACGGGAGGCAGCAGUGGGGAAUAUUGGACAAUGGGCGAAAGCCUGAUCCAGCCAUGCCGCGUGAGUGAUGAAGGCCUUAGGGUUGUAAAGCUCUUUCAACGGUGAAGAUAAUGACGGUAACCGGAGAAGAAGCCCCGGCUAACUUCGUGCCAGCCGCCGCCGUAAAAC
rnacentral:rRNA from 1 species